ACUCUCAAUCUUCCUGCAAGUCUUUGCCUGAUACUGCCUGUUUCAGGUGCAACAGGGCAAGUCACAAUUAGAGGUUGGAUGAUCAGCUUUGAGGGCCGUGUAAUCUCUGAGGGCUUCACACCAACAUUUGCAAGAGGACUUGCUGCUGUGUUUGCAAUCUACUACAUAUUCAACCUUCAGUAUCAAGAUGAAGCAGUCUGCACUCUGGAAUUCAUUCAGAGGCGCUUCAUUGGUAUAAACCCAGAGAGAGAGACAAAUGCCAAGAGGGACAAGGUUCUCUCCAAGAAUAAAGGUGUGAUCAUCCAGAAGAAGACUUCUGCAGUCAAUACACACUUCGCCAUGCUACUGAAAAAUCUCCUUGACUUUGAAUGGAACUUCAUUUAGAUCGUGGCAACACUGGAAUAAUGCUGCAGAGUGGAACAGCGGCUACCAAAAUGAUAGUCAUCUCUCCUGGAUCCACGAGAAGGGAGAUGUAAAAAC